rnacentral:rRNA from 1 species
ACGCUCGACACCUACCGGGAGGCGAGCGAGGUAGGGGGAAUAUUGGGCAAUGGGCGCAAGCCUGACCCAGCAACGCCGCGUGAAGGAAGAAGGCCCUCGGGUUGUAAACUUCUUUUAACAGGGACGAAGCAAGUGACGGUACCUGUUGAAUAAGCCACGGCUAACUACGUGCCAACAGCCGCGGUAAUCUGAGCGGGCUGGCAAGGC